rnacentral:rRNA from 1 species
GACGAACGCUGGCGGCGUGCCUAAUACAUGCAAGUCGAACGCAGUGGGGACGGGUGAGUAACACGUGGGUAACCUCCCAUCAGAGGGGAUAACACUUGGAAACCGGUGUUACACCGAUAGUGUUGGAUGGACCCGCGGUGCAUUAGCUAGUUGGUGAGGUAACGGAUCACCAAGGCCACGAUGCAUAGACGACCUGAGAGGGUGAUUGGUCAUACUGGAAAGGGGACACGGGCCAGGCUCCUACGGGAGGCAGCAGUAGGACAUAUUCGGCAAUGGACGAAGGUCUGACCGAGCAACGCCGCGUGAGUGAAGAAGGUUUUCGGAUCGUAAAACUCUGUUGUUAGAGAAGCGGUAUCUGACCAGAAAGCCACGGCUAACUACGUGCCAGCCGCCGCGGUAAUUC